rnacentral:rRNA from 1 species
GAACGAACGCUGGCGGCAUGCCUACCACAUGCAAGUCGAACGAGACCUUCGGGUCUAGUGGCGCACGGGUGCGUAACGCGUGGGAACCUGCCCUUAGGUUCGGAAUAACUCCCCGAAAGGGGUGCUAAUACCGGAUAAUGUCUUCGGACCAAAGAUUUAUCGCCUUUGGAUGGGCCCGCGUUGGAUUAGCUAGUUGGUAGGGUAAAAGCCUACCAAGGCGACGAUCCAUAGCUGGUCUGAGAGGAUGAUCAGCCACACUGGGACUGAGACACGGCCCAGACUCCUACGGGAGGCAGCAGUGGGGAAUAUUGGACAAUGGGCGAAAGCCUGAUCCAGCAAUGCCGCGUGAGUGAUGAAGGCCUUAGGGUUGUAAAGCUCUUUUACCCGGGAUGAUAAUGACAGUACCGGGAGAAUAAGCUCCGGCUAACUCCGUG